rnacentral:rRNA from 1 species
GAUGAACGCUGGCGGCGUGCCUAAUACAUGCAAGUCGAGCGAACAGACGAGGAGCUUGCUCCUCUGACGUUAGCGGCGGACGGGUGAGUAACACGUGGAUAACCUACCUAUAAGACUGGGAUAACUUCGGGAAACCGGAGCUAAUACCGGAUAAUAUAUUGAACCGCAUGGUUCAAUAGUGAAAGACGGUUUUGCUGUCACUUAUAGAUGGAUCCGCGCCGCAUUAGCUAGUUGGUAAGGUAACGGCUUACCAAGGCAACGAUGCGUAGCCGACCUGAGAGGGUGAACGGCCACACAGGAACUGAGACACGGUCCAGACCCCUAAGGGAGGCAGCGGUAGGGAAUCUUCCGCAAAGGAGAAAGCUUGACGGAGCAACGCCGCGUGAGUGAUGAAGGUCUUCGGAUCGUAAAACUCUGUUAUUAGGGAAGAACAAAUGUGUAAGUAACUAUGCACGUCUUGACGGUACCUAAUCAGAAAGCCACGGCUAACUACGUG